GUUUUAAUGCGGUACGGUAAUUUGCACGUGAAUCAGUCUGCAUGAUUAAAUCGCAAUUGAUUGAGAGAAUUAAGUAAAUUGCUCGUAACAAUGAUAUGUUUAAUUAAUCUGUAGAACGUUUGCCAAAUUGACACAGUAAUUAGGUGACAUUAAAUGAGUUUCGUCGUCAUUGGUAUGGAUAAUGUGCAUUUAUUUGAACGUGACGCAUCGCGUCGUUACUGAAUUAUUGUAGCGUUAAUCGACAGAAGUAAACAGGAACGCACUCGGUUCUCUUUCCUCAUUGAGAUAUUGAAUUCACGCUGUUUUAAUUGUAAUUUUAUUAUUUAUCGCCGUUAUAUUUAUACCGCCCUUAUACCAAUGGAACAACAUUGUGGAAUUAAUUGAUUAAUUCCCGAUUUUUAAUCUUGUUAAGGGGCGCGACUCUCGAGAAGAUACGCGCCGCUAAAAACCAGUGAUUUCGCGUAUCUACGAAGAGAAAUGAGUACGCUCGGUUCCCCGCGGAUCGCGCGAUUCUUUCUUUACUUUUUCGGCGGUGCACGUUCCUGCUCAACGCUUCGUCGAAUUAUACGCCGUGACCUGUAAUUUGGACACUAUUUCACAUGCUGUAAGCAUGCAAUCACGAAAAGGUGUUCCCUUUUGUAAGUGGUUCCACCUAGAUGAAGAAUUUAUCGGCUAACAGCCCUUCCUUGAGAUUAUAAUACACGCUGCACACAUGAUCUGAUCGGACCAUGGUCUCAUAAUGCACCGAUGCGUUCAAAUGCUUAAUUCUUUCGCUUUUUUGCCUGAUAAUAUAAAAUUUCCUGAUUCCACGUUGGUAAACAUUUCGUUAUGCAGAUUGUGCGAAGAUCGUCUCACAACCGUUAUUAUCUAUCUCUUAUUAUCCGUUAUUAUUUAUUAUUAUCUAUUAUUAUCUGCUAUUAUACCUAUUACGUAGAAUUAAUUUUCAUGAUUGAUGAUUUUUCAAAAAACAAGAAUCCUUUAUAAAAAACUUGGCAGUUUUCAUAAUUCAUAAGUUAAUUAAAAUUUUACAAAAAAGAGUUCCCUUCCUUUUUCUUAAUAUCAAUUUAAAAAUAUAUUAAAGAAAGAUUGUUCAUUUAAAUCAAGUAAAGAGUUAAUUAACAUUUUUCUGCAUCAUCGCAUAGAAUAAAAUAUUUUUGUAAUAUAAUAAAAUAAAACAUUUAUAUGAUUAAUUAAAUUAAUUUUCUCAAAGAUCACUUCAUUUGAUUGAAUAUACACAUUAUGUGUGUUAAUCCAUUCUUGGAUUUAUACGAGUCUAAUCCAUGUUCUUAUAUAGACGUACAUGUCGUCGAGUAAAUUCUCAGAGAGAGGAUGAGGCAGUUCAGGAAAUGUAAGAUCUCAAAUGCGGGAGACCGGAAGAAACGCAAUAACAUUCAAGAGAUUUGAUUUAUUCGAAAGGAAACGAAUCUCUCUCUCCCGAAUGCGUCAUGUGUGCUCCAAGAACAAAUAUCCGGCCACUCGAAUGGCAAAUUGAUCGAAAUAAAGGUUGGACAUAUGCAUUUGAUCACUUUUCGUUCUUCAGGACGCGGUCUUCGACGUUCUCCGCUUAUACAAUCGUUCCUGAUAGAGUUUAUAAACUAUACCAUUAGGUACGUUCAUUUUGCUGCUGCUUCCGCAAAUUUUUGCAAGGAGCGUAAAAGGAAAAAAAAAAGCAUCGAAAAAUCUUCAUUAGCCGAUGAUUUCCUGCGCAAGCGAUUAUUUGGAAAGCAUCGAUUAACUUUCUGAUCGUCCAGAUUGAUUCACGGAAACAGGAAGUCCUCAGAAAAAGAGCAGAGCGGCAUAGACCUCACACGUUGAGGGUAAAACGCGUUCGUAAAGUUUCUUGGAUCUCGCCGACGAAAGUGCGCGCAUCGCGCUUCGUUAUAAAAAGGGAGACGAUUGAAGUCAUGCUGAAAAGUGAUCCGAAAUCGCACACAAUUUAUGGCGAAAACUUGGAAAUUUACGAUGCUACUCUAAAUCAAGAAAAUACUGUCCACGUAUCAAUGUUACGCAUAAAUGCGUAUCUUACAUAAUACACGAAUAAAUGUACGUGAAAAACAUAAUAUAUGUAAAUAUAUGUAUCGUGCAUUUCAUAAA
rnacentral:lncRNA from 1 species